rnacentral:rRNA from 1 species
UGGGGAAUCUUGCACAAUGGGGGAAACCCUGAUGCAGCGACGCCGCGUGAACGAUGAAGCCCUUCGGGGUGUAAAGUUCUUUCGACAGGAACGAUAAUGACGGUACCUGGAGAAGAAGCUGCGGCUAACUACGUGCCAGCAGCCGCGGUAAUACGUAGGCAGCGAGCGUUGUUCGGAGUUACUGGGCGUAAAGAGUGCGUAGGCGGCGAGCCAAGUUUGGUGUGAAAUCUCCCGGCUUAACCGGGAGGGUGCGCCGAAAACUGGUUGGCUGGAGUAUGGGAGAGGAAAGCGGAAUUCCUGGUGUAGCGGUGAAAUGCGUAGAUAUCAGAUAGAACACCCAUGGCGAAGGCAGCCACUUGGUCCAUUACUGACGCUAAAGCACGAAAGCGUGGGUA